CAUCUUACCUGAACGAGGCCAAUGGACGAUCAUCAAGGUUCAUGGCCUAGGUAAGCGACCUCCAUUGCACUUUGGAGGGGUGCUCGCCUAAGGUUUCUCCAGUCCCCAUUGUAGGAGAGCCUACGUCAUAAUUUGUGGUAGUGGGUGAGUUCGAUCUCGAACCGAGCUUC